CCCGCCCGGCUCCCCCCUGCACACAGUGCCCAUUGUCUGCCCCAGACACUUUGAGGCUGCCGCUGCCCCCGGCCUCCGACACCGCCCCACACCCUCCUAUCGCCAGGUGGGGCUCCACGAGCCAGAGCGCCCCGUCCCCGUCCCCAGCCCCAAAGCGCCGCCAUGCCAGUUACCUUGGAGCCGAGCAGUGAUCAGAGAGGGAAGGCGACCUGCCCCAAGUCACACAGGCCAAACUCCAAAUCCCUGGACACCACCCCCACCUCCAGGAAGCCAACGCAGGAAGGAAGGAGCCUGCCAAGGCCACCCAGGGAGGAGCAACUGAGAUGAGGCCAGGCCGUGAGUCCCAGCCCACGCUCUCCACCUCCUGCAGGGAACAGCCCGGAACAGAGCAGGCCUGGUGGGCGGCACGGGGAGAACACCCAGGGGCAACGCGGCGUCCAAACAAAUCCCCGCAGCGAGGGUGUGUUCCUGGCCCACAAAGGCAGGGCCGGCUGUCAAAGUCUGUUCGCUCAUCCGGGUACCCAGGCCGAGGUCCGGGGGCGAGGCCACUGGGAGCUGGGAUGCAGGGCGAGGACAGCCCUCCGGGAGCUGGGAGCGUGUUCCAGAGAGACCCGCAGACGCAGAUGGGGUAGAUAAGGGCUCUGAUGGCAAAACAAAAAAACAAAAACAAACAAAACAACCCAGGGCUACGCUAUCCCGAAAGAGCAACCCCUCAGCGUGUCAACUUUCGAUACCGACCCCUAAAACGACAGCUUCCAAACCCCA